AAAUAAAAAGCAUAAGAACCGGUGAAAACUAAAGUAAAUAACAGUUGUCCUUUGAAGUCUCAACUACAUUUCCUUUUAGAUAGACUAGAAGGACUUAAAAAGGUAUAAUCUGCAAGAAAAUCCUAACUACUACAUUUUAAUUUGAACAAAUUGAAGGUUUAUCCACUUAUGUCUUUUUCUGUAUUACUUGUGCUGCGGCAUGGAUAUCUGACUAAUUGACAUAUUCGAGGAUGGUAAAGGGGGUUCUUAACACGGAAACACGUGAAAUAAAAAUUAAAAAAAACCACUGCACUGAAAAUAAAAAUUUGGAUAAAGGAAGCACGAAAAAUUAAAUCAUGAAUAUUAUUAAGGAAAAAAGUACUAGAAGUUAAUACUCAGUCGUUAUUGGAGAUCACACAGUCAUGAUAAUGGACACGAAGACCCUGCAGUCACCUUUUCGCUUCGCUUCCGCUUGUUGCAUCCGAAUCGUGGAAAAGAUAACUUGAUCGCAAUUAAUAUCCUGGGAACACAUAAUUUAAAACAAUCUCCCGACUGGACUUCGAAUUUAGUCCUGGUUUACUUUUUUUUUAUCUUGAAUGUUGGACUAGCACGAGAAAUUAAAGAGUACACAGACGAAACACGGAAAAUAAAUAAGAGGAAACAAAAAUAAUGCAUGUCGAACCAAUUACGAGAAAUAAAACGCUAAAACACGUGAAAUAAAAAGGCCAUAAAUGCAAAUAACUUUUUACCACCC
rnacentral:lncRNA from 1 species